rnacentral:rRNA from 1 species
AUACGGAAGGUCCGGGCGUUAUCCGGAUUUAUUGGGUUUAAAGGGAGCGCAGGCGGAGAUGCAAGCGUGACGUCAAAUUUCGGGGCUCAACCCCGUCUCGCGUCGCGAACUGCGUCCCUUGGUUGCGGGAAGGGGAGGCGGAACUCGUGGUGUAGCGGUGAAAUGCAUAGAUAUCAUGAAGAACUCCGAUCGCGAAGGCAGCCUUCCGGCCCGUCAACGACGCUCAUGCUCGAAGGUGCGGGUAUCAAACAGGAUUAGAUACCCUGGUAGUCCGCACAGUAAACGAUGGACACCCGCGGUUUGGCCUGUAUGGCUGAGCCGCCAAGCGAAAGCGUUAAGUGUCCCACCUGGGGAGUACGCCGGCAACGGUGAAACUCAAAUGAAUUGACGGGG